rnacentral:pre_miRNA from 1 species
AAUAAAUCAAUUUUUCACUUUUUACCUAUAAUUUUUUACUCUUUAUUUUAUUUAAAUUUUUUUGCAAUUGAUAUUUUUGUUUUUAUUAGAUGAUAAAUCAUAAAAAGUACUUUACGUGUGACUAAUUUUUUUCUAAUUUCCUAAAAAUUUUUCAAAUAAGACGGAUGGUCAAACGCUAGGCACAAAAAUCGA